ensembl:snRNA U6 U6 spliceosomal RNA
GCUCCCUUCGGCAGCACAUAUAUUAAAAUUGGAACAAUACAGAGAUUAGCAUGGCCUCUGUGCAAGGAUGACACGUAAACUUGUGAAGCGUUCCAUAUUUUU